AGAGUUUGAUUCUGGCUCAGAAUGAACGCUGGCGGCGUGCUUAACACAUGCAAGUCGAACGAGAAAGCCCUUUCGGGGGUGAGUAGAGUGGCGAACGGGUGAGUAACGCGUGAGAAUCUUCCCUUUAGUGAAGGAUACCCUCGAGAAAUCGGGGUUAAUACUGCAUAAGUCUUGGGUAAAACCCAGAGAAAGCUGGCCUCUUGCUAGCGCUGAAGGAUGAGCUCGCGUUCUAUUAGCUUGUUGGUGGGGUAAAGGCCUACCAAGGCAAUGAUGGAUAGCCGGCCUGAGAGGGUGUACGGCCACAUUGGGACUGAGAUACGGCCCAGACUCCUACGGGAGGCAGCAGUGGGGAAUAUUGCGCAAUGGGGGAAACCCUGACGCAGCGACGCCGCGUGGAGGAUGACGGUUUUAGGAUUGUAAACUCCUGUUAAGUGGGAAGAAAUGGCAGAGCUUAAUACGCUUUGCAGCUGACGGUACCACUAAAGAAAGCACCGGCUAACUUCGUGCCAGCAGCCGCGGUAAUACGAGGGGUGCAAGCGUUAUUCGGAGUUACUGGGCGUAAAGUGCGCGUAGGCGGUUUGUUAAGUCGGUCGUUAAAGACCCCAGCUCAACUGGGGAAAGGCUACCGAUACUGGCAGACUAGAGGAUAAGAGAGAGAGGUGGAAUUCUCGGAGUAGCGGUAAAAUGCGUAGAUCUCGAGAGGAACAUCGGUUGCGAAGGCGGCUUCUUGGCUUAUUCCUGACGCUGAGGCGCGAAAGCGUGGGGAGCAAACAGGAUUAGAUACCCUGGUAGUCCACGCCGUAAACGAUGAUCACUAGAUGUUGGUUUUGCUUAGCAAGAUCAGUGUCGAAGCUAACGCGUUAAGUGAUCCGCCUGAGUAGUACGGUCGCAAGAUUAAAACUCAAAGAAAUUGACGGGGGUCCGCACAAGCGGUGGAACAUGUGGUUUAAUUCGACACUACGCGAGGAACCUUACCUAGGCUUGACAUGUAAUUGCUACCGAUGGAAACAUUGGGUUCUGUGUUUACACAGACGGUUACACAGGUGCUGCAUGGCUGUCGUCAGCUCGUGUCGUGAGAUGUUGGGUUAAGUCCUUUAACGAGCGCAACCCUUGCCGUUAGUUGCUACUCCUUUGGAAAGCACUCUAGCGGGACUGCCUUGGAAACAAGGAGGAAGGUGGGGAUGACGUCAAGUCCUCAUGGCCCUUAUGCCUAGGGCUACACACGUGUUACAAUGGCGAGCACAACGGGUAGCGAAGUCGCGAGGCGGAGCUAAUCCUAUAAAACUCGUCUAAGUUCGGAUUGGAGUCUGCAAUUCGACUCCAUGAAGCUGAAAUCGCUAGUAAUCGUGUAUCAGAACGACGCGGUGAAUACGUUCUCGGACCUUGUACACACCGCCCGUCACACCACGUAAGUCGUCAGCGCCCGAAAUCGCCUUAGCCAACCUUUUAGGAGGCGGGUGAUGAAGGUGAGGGGGAUGAUUGGGGUGAAGUCGUAACAAGGUA
rnacentral:rRNA from 1 species